UUUUGAUGAUUCUUUGUCUACAAUAUUUUUUUGUUUAUUUAUAUAUAUAUAUUUGAUAAGGACAAUAUUAACCAUUUGGUUUAUUGGAUAUUAUGAAGUGUUAUUCAAAAAUCCCGGAUCCGUACCCCGACUUUUGGAAGUGUGCGAUUGUACAAUCGAUUAUAUAAGUAUUUCACCAAAUCAUAAAUUGAGGGUUAUUCAUU
rnacentral:lncRNA from 1 species